rnacentral:rRNA from 1 species
UGGGGAAUUUUGGACAAUGGGCGAAAGCCUGAUCCAGCAAUGCCGCGUGUGUGAAGAAGGCCUUCGGGUUGUAAAGCACUUUUGUCCGGGAAAGAAAUCCUUGGCUCUAAUACAGUCGGGGGAUGACGGUACCGGAAGAAUAAGCACCGGCUAACUACGUGCCAGCAGCCGCGGUAAUACGUAGGGUGCAAGCGUUAAUCGGAAUUACUGGGCGUAAAGCGUGCGCAGGCGGUUUGCUAAGACCGAUGUGAAAUCCCCGGGCUCAACCUGGGAACUGCAUUGGUGACUGGCAGGCUAGAGUAUGGCAGAGGGGGGUAGAAUUCCACGUGUAGCAGUGAAAUGCGUAGAGAUGUGGAGGAAUACCGAUGGCGAAGGCAGCCCCCUGGGCCAAUACUGACGCUCAUGCACGAAAGCGUGGGGAGCAAACAGGAUUAGAUACCCUGGUAGUCCACGCCCUAAACGAUGUCAACUAGUUGUUGGGGAUUCAUUUCUUAGUAACGUAGCUAACGCGUGAAGUUGACCGCCUGGGGAGUACGGUCGCAAGAUUAAAACUCAAAGGAAUUGACGGGGUCAAGCUG